CCUACGGGAGGCAGCAGUGGGGAAUAUUGCACAAUGGGCGAAAGCCUGAUGCAGCGACGCCGCGUGAGUGAAGAAGGUCUUCGGAUCGUAAAACUCUGUCCUUGGUGACGAAAAAAAUGACGGUAGCCAAGGAGGAAGCCCCGGCUAACUACGUGCCAGCAGCCGCGGUAAUACGUAGGGGGCGAGCGUUGUCCGGAUUUACUGGGCGUAAAGGGUGAGUAGGCGGUUAUAUAUGUCAGAUGUAAAAGGCACAGGCUUAACUUGUGUAAGCAUUUGAAACUGUAUAACUUGAGUGCAGGAGAGGUAAGUGGAAUUCCUAGUGUAGCGGUGAAAUGCGUAGAUAUUAGGAGGAACACCAGUGGCGAAGGCGACUUACUGGACUGUAACUGACGCUGAGUCACGAAAGCGUGGGUAGCAAACAGGAUUAGAUACCCUGGUAGUCCACGCUGUAAACGAUGAGUGCUAGGUGUUGGGUAGCGAUACUCAGUGCCGAAGUAAACACAAUAAGCACUCCGCCUGGGGAGUACGGUCGCAAGACUGAAACUCAAAGGAAUUGACGGGGACCCGCACAAGCAGCGGAGCAUGUGGUUUAAUUCGAAGCAACGCGAAGAACCUUACCAAGGUUUGACAUCCCCUUGACAGAUGCAGAGAUGUGUCCUCUCCUUCGGGAGCAAGGGAGACAGGUGGUGCAUGGUUGUCGUCAGCUCGUGUCGUGAGAUGUUGGGUUAAGUCCCGCAACGAGCGCAACCCUUAUCAUUAGUUGCCAGCAUGUUAUGGUGGGCACUCUAAUGAGACUGCCGGUGAUAAACCGGAGGAAGGUGGGGAUGACGUCAAAUCAUCAUGCCCCUUAUAUCUUGGGCUACACACGUGCUACAAUGGUCGGUACAAAGGGGAGCGAAGGAGCGAUCUGGAGCAAAUCCCAAUAAACCGAUCCCAGUUCGGAUUGUAGGCUGCAACUCGCCUACAUGAAGUCGGAGUUGCUAGUAAUCGCGAAUCAGAAUGUCGCGGUGAAUGCGUUCCCGGGUCUUGUACACACCGCCCGUCACACCAUGGAAGUUGGGGGCGCCCGAAGUCGGCUAAUUAAUAGGCUGCCUAAGGCGAAAUCAAUGACUGGGGUGAAGUCGUAACAAGGUAGCCGUAUCGGAAGGUGCGGCUG
rnacentral:rRNA from 1 species